AUUAAAAAUUUAAAAUUAAGAAAGAUAAUUAAAAUUUUAAAAAACCAUUUAUGUGAGAUUGGAAUUUUGUUAGUUUAAAAACUAGAAAUUAAAAAUUUGUUACAAUUUUUUAUACCUUAUAGAGAUGCUAAAAGAGAAUUAAAAAAAAAGAAUUUCUAAUUAUUAUUAAUUUACAGUUUUACACAAAAUUAAAAACUUUUUAAAUAAAUCAUAAAAUUAAAUGUAAAAAAAAAAAAGAAACAGACGCAUAUGCAAAAGGCCAAAAAUAGCCUGUCAAUCAAAACGGGAGUCGGAGAUGAACUUCUUUACCUUGGUCACUGGUGUUUGGCUGUUUGCUGAAUUGGAUCUAGUGCCUAGUUAAUUAACGACGCUGCAACACGUCCUGAUCUCGCCUUGUGAGCUGGUUAGCACAUCAAUGGCUGGCGGAAGCCUUUAACAAUGACAAUGAAAGUUUUGGAAUUGCAUUUGAGGAUCUUCGUCUCAAAUUUUUGUGUUCUUGCUUAUUUAUGCUUGAGUUCUGAAUAACGGAUACAUAUCGCAACAAAUCUGUAAAGUAUUUUUUCUUUUCUUUUUUCUUUUUUUUUUAACAAGAUCAGUAUAGAUACGAUUUAGAUACGUAUCCCUAACGUAUCGGAAUGUAUCCGUAUCAGAUACGUAUCUGUGCUUCUGAGGCCUCAAGCAAUCCUCGAAAGCAUGGUUUGAUAGCUUAACUCAAGUUGUCAACGAAGGAGAUGAUUAUGAUCAAAUCAAACACCUAAAGGAGCUCUUGGCUAAGGAAUUUGAAGUGAAAGACUUGGGACAACUCAAGUAUUUUCUUGGGAUGGAAGUUGCUCGGACAAAGAAUGACAUUUAUGUAUCUCAAAGGAAGUAUACUUUGGACCUCCUUCAAGAAAUUGGGAUGCUUGGAUGCAAGGCGGCUAAUACAACCCAUUGAACUAGCGAAAAGAAGUAGUUCUGAGGAAAAAAGUCCACCAACUAACAAAGAUAGGUACCAAAGCCUAGUUGGAAGGUUAAUUUACCUGACUCGCACUAGGCCUGGCAUCGAAUUUGCUGAAGUUUGGCUAGCCGCUGCAUGUUUAAUCCUACUGAAGUCCAUAUGAAAAUUGUGAAUUGAAUCCUUCAAUACCUUAAGGGUACACCAGGUAAGGGACUCUACUUCAAGAAAAGCUCAAACAGAGGUAUUGAAACGUACAUAGAUUCAGAUUGAGCAGGAUGUACCUCAAACAGAAAAUCUACUACAAGCUAUUGUUCCUUUGUAGUGGCAAGAAGCAGUGUAGAAGUUGAAUUCAGAGCUAUGGCACAAGGCAUUUGUGAAGGGAUUUGACUUAAACGGAUGUUGGAAGAAAUUAGAGUUCCCAUAAAUUAUACAAUGAGGAUUUUGUGUUGCCAUAGGUAUUGCAAAGAACCUUGUCCACCAUGACAAGACAAAACAUGUGAAGAUUGAUCAGCACUUCAUUAAGGAAAAAACUGAUCACAAAAUGAUAAAUAUGGAUCAUGUACCAUCAUGUAAACAGACAACAGACAUUCUAAGUAAGCCUCUGCCAAGGAACACUUAUGAAAGCAUCAGAUCCAAUCUAUGUAUGAUAGACAUCACCUAGGUUGAGGGAGAGUGUUGAAAAUAGAACAAAUCAAUUAGAAUCUAAUUCUGAUUGUGUACAACUUACCAAAAUUAAUUGUAAUUAGAAUCUGUAUUAUUCUUGGCUUCCAUCAUUAUUUAGCCAUAUCAUUUCAUUUCUAGGUAUAAUUAUUCCCCUGAUUUAGUCUAGAUUAAUGUACAUAUUUAUUUUCCCUUUCCUAUUUAUUUCCCCUAUUGUAUCAAGUAUUAUUAAGAGAAAAAUAAUCCAUAUUUCUGUAGGUAACAAUGUCCAUUUAGCAGUACCUGUGCAUAGGCUAGAUUUUAGGGUUUAGUUAGGCCAAUCUUCUUAAUUCUACCUUAAUGUCAAUGCAGCAGCAUCCUCUAUGUCAUGCCCAAUGAUUGUUCUGUUUUCGAGCUCCCUAAAAUUUGGAGGUAUACUUUAUUUUCAUGAUGAAUUCUUAUUGUUGGGCUAUGCAAAAAAAUUUACCACUGAAACUGUAGAUUUUCGUUUGCCAAAGCUGCCACGAGCCACCUCUAUCUCCCAGUUCCAUUAGCACCUAUCAGUUCAUGACAGCACCUGAUUACUUUUUUGACUGUUAUCACCCUUUCUGACUCAUCCUUACCUCGUCCAACUGCUCACUGGAGUUUUUCCAGCCAUCCUUUUUCUUGUGCAUGUUGCCCAUAUUUGUUCCACCUACUCUGUCACCUCAGAUCGCUGGCUUCUCAGUUCCCAUGGGGUAUUUUUUGCUCCCUUAGGCUGCAAUAUUUUCACCCAAUAACUUUUGCCUUUCUGCAUUUGGAAGACUCGGUGUAUCAUGACAUGUAAUUAGGGCCUAUCGAAGAUGUAAUGUGCUGCUACCCAAUACCCGCAGAUUUUUAGUGUUGCAAUGCUCCAAAUAUGUAGUCCUUGGUGUGAAGGGGUAUGUCAUGAUUCCAAAUUGGUUUGGGGUUUAUUGGAUAAAUACCUCUUAUAAUGACUUCGGCAAUCCUCCCCUUUGAGCUAGGUUUUGGGAUUGAGCAAUACUAGUGAUCAAUACUAGUAUUAUAUAAAUAGAGCAAUACUAGUGCCUAGCAACAUACUAUUGACAUACUCUUUGCAACACUUUAUUAUUGGGUGAGUUUCAUGAUCUCCUACUAGACAUGUCCACUUUUUAGUUGUGUUGAAAAUCAGAAUAGAAUAAUAUACCCAUUUAUUGUAUACUACUAAAUAGGGAUGUAUGAUAUAAUGUAAGGGAAAUUAGAUAUCCCCUAAUCAUGCAUAUGAAAUAUUUAAAUGUAUUCUUCCUAUUUAUAUAAACCUCUAUUCUGUACUUUAGACACAUGGAUUCAGCCUAUCAUCAUGCCUCUAUUUUCUUUUUUCUCUUAACAGGUUGAAUCUACAUGAAAAUCACCUAAUAAUAGUGUUUUGAAAGGAGAGUAAGUGUGUGUUGCUACUUGCUAGCAUUUCUUUGUUAGAGUAUAGAGUAGCUAUAGCUCAUAUAUGUGUAUGUAACUCUGUUAUGAGCUCUCGGUUAGUUAUAUGCUGAUUCAACUUGACCGUUAUGUUACUCCUUAUUAGAGCUCUAUAUAUAUCUGUAUUAACAGUAUCAAUGAAUAACAAACAUUUCAGUUGAUCUUCAA